GGAUACCUCAUUUAAAGGACCACAGAUAGCAGUCGAACACCUUGCAUACGGCUAUGCUUCUUUUCCGUUCCCUUCAUGAAUCUCGACCGGCUCUGCACCUCUGAGAGCAAAGGAAACAGCAUCCCUGUGUGAUCUGAAUACUUUGAACCUCGCUGAUUUGUACCGACGGAACAGUUCCAUUGCUUCCAAUUUAUUUUCAUAUACAUGUAUAGCCUCUGUUAAGUAAUAAUUAUAUUUAAUAUAAUAUUUUUGUAACUAAAAUAAUUUUGUUUACUACUCACACAUGACAAAAUUUUGGCAAUGAAAAUUUUACAUUUAAACUAAGAACUUUAUUUGAAUGCGUGACACAGGCAGGUCUAUUAUUGUCCAUCGACCUAUAUUUAGUUGAUAAGAUUAUUUUUUUGAUAAGAACAAAAACAAAUAAAAGAAGAGUAAUUUUCAAUUAUCUAA